CUCCUCUCUCCAGGGCACAUCUUCCGGCCCGCUCGCCCUCUGCUAGAAAUAGGAAAAUGCUAUAAUAACACAACACAAGAAAAAAAAAAAAAUGAGGCAACUUUGAUCACGCAUGCUCCCUUGGCGUCCACCUCUUUUUUUCACCCCACAACAUUUCUCCUAAGUUGGAAAGUCAAGGAAAGCUCGAGCGAAGUGUUGUUCACAGUUAAACCAAUCAUUCGGGGAAAGCCAUCUCAUAUUUAAAAUGCCUGUGGUAUCAAGGUGAAGGGAUCAGCUGGCAGAGAUGUAAGUGUGUGCAGCGUUUCUGCAUGAAGAGAGACUGGAAGAGGGGAAGAGGAAGUGAUCGACAGACAGAGCUCAGUUCAGCUGGACACAACAAGAUGAAAUGAGCCUGUGAAUGGAGUGACUUGUCAGAGAGAGAGAACAAGGUAGGACAAACCAGGACCUCUGAGUAAUGACCGUCCUUCUGAUCCUCACCUCUCAAAUCCCCCCACAGGAAAAUCAAGUGUCCUCGUUUAUUACAGCAGGAUCAAUGUGGCCAGGGCUGUAAAAAUUGACAAAUUAGUUAUUAGUUUCACAACAUUUUUUUUUCCUUCUGGCUGAUUAACUUACAAGGAGGUGCUAGAAUGCGUCACAUUCUUCCUCAUAUAGGCGUAGAGUGAACUGUGUUUAUCUAGGCAAAACGUGUUGCAUCACAUUCUUCUAUAUUUUACUGUAAAUUUCCACUUAAAGUGAAACUGAAAUCUAAGCAGGUAUAAGGAUAAAGAUACAUCCUAAAACUAAAGAAAUUUACCAUCAAUACAUCUGUGUUUUUGAAUACUGGGAAAACCCCUACUGAUGAUGCAUCUUGAAGAUAGAAGUCAAAUUUUUGUGCAAAUGUUUCUAAGCAGCUAUUACAGAAGAAUGCCACAGAGUUAUGGAACCGUAAGCCAAACCAACUUGACCACAUGAGAAAUUCAGAACUAAAAGAAAUGACGCUUAUGUUCACACAAAUGAAUUCAUAAAAAUAUAUGAAUGCCGAUCCUGCUCCCAAACCUAGCGUUAACUUUUUAUACAACUUGAGUUGUGCUCAUCGUUAUGAAUUUGCAAAAUCGAGAACAUGUUGAGAAAAACUUCACUGGGGACUUUUUUUUUUUUUGAGUUUUGUAUGAAGUGGAGAGGAAAUUGCAUUUUCUUCAUGUUAUCUGUAGCAACCUCUCUCAAAGAUCUACCAUAACCUAAAGUGCUGGCUCACACUAAAUAUAUGUACUUUCCUCUAGCCACUAGCCAAUUUGUUUGCAAAGAGAGUCUCAUCCGGAUGUUGCCGGGUUUCUGGCAUCUCUGGCUCAACAAGUUAAAUUUGAUCGACCAAACUCAAUGUCAUAUGAGAGAACCACUCACUGUCUUUUCUUUUUACAUAUUAUGCUAGAUAGCUUAGCUAAAGUUGCCUUUCAGCAGUAGCUGAUUUAACUUUAAUAGCUAGCCUCAUUCCCUAACAAGCUAGCUAAUAUUAGGCUGUCAUACUAUGCAAUGAAAAUCAUGAGCUAAAAAAUGAACUACUAGUCUAAUUAUUAUUUUGUGUAAUCAAAACCAAAAGGCAGGUUUGGUAACAACAGGGUAGUAAGCUAUCUAAGAUUAGCGUAUAGCUAUAUUAGGACAAUAAUCUAGCUAAAAUUAGGGCGAUUAACAAGCUAACAUUAGUGCAUUCAACAAGCUAAUAUUACGGUAGUAAACUAGUUAAAAUUAGCGCAGUAUGCAAGCUACUAUUAGGGUAGUAAACUAGCUAGUGUUAAUAUAGUAAACUAGCUAACAUUAAGGCGUUAAACAAGCUAAUAUUAGGGUAAAAACAAUCUAGAAUUAGGGCAUUAACCAAGCUAAUAUUUGGUUAAUAAAACUAGCUAACAUUAGGGCAUUAAACAAGCUAAUAUUAGGGUAGUAAUCUAAUUAACAUUAGGGUCGUAUCCUAGCUAACAUUAGACACAGUAUUUUGAUUUUAAACUGGUAGCCAUUUUCUCUAACAAGCUAGUGAACAUUAGGCUAACCAUAAAUAAAACUAGUAGCCACGUGUGUUAGCAUGCUUCCUGAUGUUAGGUUACCUACUGUAUUGUGUAUAACUAUGUGAUUUGUGUAAUGCUUCAUAGGUGUUGUAGUAAGAGAAAUUUGAGUCUCAAAUCUGAUUGGUCAGAUGGUGUUGAAGUUUUUUAUAACAGCAGGUCUGACAGUAGUUCCGGCUGUAAUUUGGUUUAGAGGUUUAUAUUAAUGCACUCCUACUAAUACGUUAUCGUUUCUAUAGUAAUGGCUUAUUCACAGGGGUUUGUAUGGCAGAUGCUCUACAUAAUCUGAGACUAAUAAUAAAUGGAUUAAAAAUAUGCUAUUUAAUAAAGAAAAAUGUAUCAUUUAUAUACAUUUAUAUAAUAUAUAUUAAUGUAUUUGAUAUGGGGAUGUUUUCUGUAAGGAGGUGUUUAUUUAACAUUUAUUGAAGUAGUCUGAGCACUUUGUAUGAUUUCUGACACGGGAGAGUCUUCAGGACACAGGGCGUUUGGUAACAUGACAAACUGCAUUUUUUUGUCUUAUUAACUUCAAGAGAGAGAGAAAAAAGGUGUGGGAACAACUGGUUAUUUAUAGCUGUUAUAACAUAAGUGAAAACAGGAAGUUGUCUGGCGGACUUUCCACAACAUUAAAUCUAACUAUAUGUGGAUAAAAAGUAUGAUUUCACUCUUUAAUUAAUAAAAAAUGUAAUUCAAGAUGUUUAACUUUGAUUGAUUAGUUUCCUAUGACAGCACGCACCCAAGUGUUUUAUUCUUUACUUAUGUAACAAGACAAUCAAAAUGUUACAAUAAAGUUUAAUGAGAGAAUAGCUCUUUAAACAGUAAAAUGUCUUGACCGUUCAAUGAGAUCAUAGACCGUGAUGUUUUCAGAUUCAGUUACAAACUGAAAGAAGAAUUUUAGGCAGUUCUGCUGAGGUAGGCGUUCUUGUCAUUGGGGACCCAGGCGCUGGCUUUGCCCCUGGCUCCAAAGUCAAGAGAGAUAGGGGUGUGGAGGAGUGAUGCUGUGUUUUGUCUCAUGUCAGUCCGGGGGGUCGUCCUCAUGACCCGAGGGGCUGUCCUGACCAUGAUAACAUGACUCGGAGAACUCGGCUCUGCCACACAACAGCCUUUUGUCCUGCCAGUGUCUGUCAGCAGAGAGGAAGACACACAGUCGCAGCAUCAAUCACAGCCAAACUACAUCUAAACAACGUCCACCAGCCCUCAUAUACGCAGUGUAUAUUCUGCGCCUGUACAUGUGCCUUGUCUGUGUGUGUAAAUAAAUGUUCCAUAUUCAACGAGGAUAAAAACGAUGUUUUUUCCAUAUCUUGGCCUAAUAUGCUUUAGGAGUCCCAGCUUGCCUUUCAGAGAGCAGAGUGUGCCAAGCCAGGCAGCUUGUGCAUCAUGACCCAAUUCUCCCCUCGCCACAACCUGAAUGGCUGGAGUAUAGUUAGCUUAAUUGGGUUUUGAUAUAUUUAAUUCAGCUAAUCAGAAAGCCCAACUGGCUCCAACAUGGGGCCUGCGUGCCUUUCUCUUUUCCACAAAGCUCCCAGAGACCAGGCGGGUGCGGAGUAAGAGCCUCCCAGAAUGGAUUCCCUCUCAAACAGUGGGAAGAAAAUUAAACUGCCAAAUUUGUUUUCAUUGGUUCAGGGCUUCUGCAGGGAGUUGGAGGCUUUUAAUUGCGCUGUAGCUGUGAAGAAUCAGUUGGGCCAUUUUUAAAACAACAUAAAAAAGCAAGCAGCUCCCUUUUGCCUGGCUGUUUUCUUUUAAAGCUCAACAGUGUUUGAUGUAGCACAAAGAUUCUGAUACUAUAUUAUACUUCUUUAGUAAUUACCUACACUCUAUGAUCUCCUAUACAGUUUAGUUGUAUGUAUGAAAAGAGCUGAGUUACUUAAUAUGUCAUAGUCUUAAAAUACAACCCAGUGCUAAUUGCUUAUUGGACCAAUAAAAGACAAUGUGUUCUGUCAUUAUAUUAUAUUUCACUUCUUUUUGCUGAAACUUUAGCUUUGAACACCCCCCCACUCCCCACCCCCUUGAACAACGAUCCAAAAAAAAAGAAACCUCCAUCACCAGCUCUUUUGUUUGCCCAGGCCCUAUUUUCUCUCUCGUUCUCUUUCUCUCUAUUUUUUGGCCUUUGAUAUUUUUUCCAGUGUGUCAAAACAAGCCGAGCCUACAUGGAAACGGCAGCCCUGUGUAAAUAUUUAUGAUGUAACAUCUCCAUGUGAAUAGACUUUCCUCUGAGCCCAUCCAUCACGGCCGCCACCUUGUGAAAGGGCUCCCCCCGGCCAUGCGCUCAGGCCGCAGGAAGGGCGCACGGGAGCGCCGCGUCCCCUUGCGCUCAAAGCAUUUGUUUUUUUUUUCUUUUGACCAAGACUUUCUGGACCGGCAGGGCAUUCGGGACUGUGUCCUCUCUCGCCUUUCUGGAGCCCCCCAAAAAACUUCAAAGCAGAUCGGAGGCUUUUGUCUGUGUGACGUGGCCGCUGGCCUGCAAAAUGCUGCGACAGAAAAAUGCGAUGUAGGUCAAAUCAUGAAAAGUGGAAUAGACGGCCCUUGCUAUCAUCUUAUGCUAACUAGAAUGAGUCUGGGCACAGGUUGCAGAAAUCCUCCAAAUGAGGUGUUUAGCGUUAGCCGGAACAAGCACAUGGCCUUGUCCUUCUUUAUAUGAAGCCAUUGAGAGCUCAUGUUGAAACAGCUGCAAGGUUUGCAGAAACAAUGUCUCAUUAUUUAGAGUGCCAUGCAACAAUGGCUGGCCGUUCGUGUUAACAGCUAAAUCAGAGAAUCAGACCUUACAGUCACUUUAAUUAGACUCUAUACUUGAAAACUAAUGUUUUAAGCUGCAUCCAAUCAUCAUCCAGUUCUCAAGCUCUCAAGUUCACAAUACUCCCCCCUUCCCACACACACACACACACACACUUUUUUCCUCACAAAAAUAUUAACCACAGGCAUUACCACUGUCACACCUGGCCGUGUUAGAGACAGGUGUGGUCUCCUCCUGUCUGGAUCGGGUAUAUUUUUCCUCUCUCCUCUUGCACAAUCCCCCUCUGCUUGGUGAGAAAUUAGCUAUUGCAAAGACGAGCCUCUCAGUAGAGCAACAUUACAGUGUCUCUCUGUGCUUUUUAUCACAACAGACGGUUGCUAAGAUGUAAUUAUCGCUGUCUCCCUCUGAUAGACUGAGCCACGGGCUGAAAAGGUAAUAUGGAUUAUCACAAUAGUUCUACGGCUCAAUACUGCUAUCUAACUUUAUCCAUUUAUCUGCAAUGAUAGGAAUCCUUUGUGUUGUGCGCCAGUGUAGCAUGUAUCUAAAUAAUAAAGGCUAUUGUCUCGCCUCAGAAGAGAACGGAUUGUCUUUUUAAUUUCACCGGUUUUAUUAUUGUUAAUAUUCAUGCCAUGACAGCUGCGCACGCCUGAAACUGAAAUAUUGAGCCCAAAAACAUGGCUGUGAAAACAGCAGGAAGGUGGAGAGAAACCUGAGCAAUUAUGCAGAAUAAAUCCUGCUUCAGAUCCUCUAUCUGUUUGCCAUCAAAAAGCAGGAAUGUUUCCGUAUCACCCAUAAUAUUACAGCACACCAUCAAGGAUAAAUAUUUCUCUCCCCUCUCCACACUACCUCUCUCUGUCCCUCCCUCUGCUCCUGUGUGUGUGUGUGUGUGUGUGUGUGUGUGAAGCGGUGAGCGAGCGAUGAGUGCUGGGCUUUGAAGAGUAUAUAUAAAAUAGAUGACAUUUUUUCCUUUUCUCUCUAAUUUUGAGUGCCUCUUUUCUCUCAGCAGAUCUAUUCAAGCUUUCAAUACCCCCUCCCUUUCUCGUGCGCUUUUCUCAGCAAGCAGGAGGGUUUUACUUUACUCCUUUGUCAUCCUAAUUGAUUGCAUUAACCUUUUGAGUAUUGAAUUUCCUGUGCAUCACGCCGAGCACAAUGUGGAAUAUUAUCAUAAUCCCUCCAAGUAAUGGACACAGGGCAAUCAACAAUGCUUUAGGAAAAGUACAUCUUUGAAAGAUGGAGCAUCUUAUUAUUUCCAAUCAAAAGGCUCCCUCGGACUGGCAGGCUUUGAGAAACUUUGAAAGCCGUUUUAAGGUGUUGCAGCUCUCUGCGCUUCACGCCACCAUGUCUUUGAAGUGAGCGUUUAAGGGGCUUUUGUUCUUAGUGCAGAAUUGGAGAGCUAAAAGGGUUUGAAGAAACAUCUUUUCCAGAUGCUAAUGAUACACUGAAGUAGAAUGAGUACUAAAAUAAACCACUUGCUGUUUUAGUAUCAUCUUACACCAUUUUAUCUUUUAUCUCAUCAUGCCAUUUUAAUUUUUCCAUUUAAUUUUUGAUGAACACAUGAUAAGUGAUCUCAUAUGAGGGCGCCUUAACUAAUACUACACAGCAUUUGGUUUAACCAUUAUGUCCAGCAUGUGCUGACUUACGGAGAAAAACACUACAAUCAUGAAUCACAGUUCAUUAUCAUACGACUAGACCAUUAUUACAAUUUCUGUACUGCUAUUCAUGUCCAUCUGAGUGUGGAGCAUGGUGUAACAGUGAAAUCAGGCAGAGCAGAGCUGUAUGAGGAGCCAAGAGCUUCCUCAGCUGAAUGAGAGCCAGCGCAUGUGUGUAUUGAUAUGAUAAUGUGCAUGUGUGUGCGUGUGUGUGUGUGUGUGUAUAUGUACGGCAGGACCACCCGCUCACCUGAAACAGCACCCAGGGUGUUUUUCUCCUUAUGUGCACACACACAUCUGUGUACGUUUAUCAUGCUGGUCAGGACCCAUUUGGGGGAGAUGUGCACGUUGGUGUCUACAUACUUCUUCUCAGGAAUCACAACUACAGACAAGUUACAAUAAGUUUGUAUACAGCAUUAAAUUAUGAAAUUAUAUAUACAGUAUACAUACAGUUCUUUAGGAACACCUGUAUACUUCCUCAUUCAUGCAAUUAUCUAAUCAGCCAAUCAAGUGGCUGCAGUGCAGUGCAUAAAAUCAUGUGGAUACGGGCCAGCAGCUUCGGUAAUGUUGAGUAUUUCUAUAACUGCUGAUCUCCUGGGAUUUUCACACACAACUGUAUCUGUAUCAUGUAUCUCAGAAUGGUGCAAUAAAGAAAAAACAUCCAGUGAGUGGCAGUUCUGCGAACAGAAAUGCCUUGUUGAUGAGAGAAGUCAAUGGAGAAUGGCCAGAAUGGUUUGAGCUGACAGAAAGGCUAGAGUAACUCAGAUAACCACUCUGUACAAGUGUGGUGAAAAGCAGAAAGCAUCUCAGAAUACACAACAUUCUGAGGCGGAUGGGCUACAACAGCAGAAGACCACGUACGGUUCCAUUUCUGUCAGCCAAGAACAGAAAGCUGAGGACACAGUGGGAACAGAUUCACCAAAACUGGACAAUUGAAGACUAGAAAAACAUCACCUGGUCUGAUGAAUCUUGAUUUUUGCUGAGACACACAGAUGUUAGGGUCAGAAUUUGGUGCCAGCAGCAUGAAUUCCUGGACCCAACCUGCCUUGUGUCAACAGUCCAGGCUGGUGGAGGUGGUGUAAUGGUGUGGGGAAUGUUUUCUUGGCACACUUUUGACUUGUUAAUACCAAUCAAUGCCACAGCCUAUUUGAAUAUUGUUGCUGACCAUGUGCAUCUCUUCAUGGCCACAAUUUACUGAUCUUACAGUAGCUACUUCCAGCAUGAUAAUGCACCAUGUCACAAAGCAAAAGUCGUCUCAAACUGGUUUCAUGAACAUGACAAUGAGUUCAGUGUUCUUCAGUGUCCUUCCCAGUCACUGGAUCUAAAUCCAGUAGACCUCCUUUGGGAUGUGGUAGAACAGGAGACACUUUCACAGUGCACCUAAAAAAUCUGUAGGAAUUGCAUGAUGCAGUCAUGUCAACAUGGACCAGAAUCUCAAACGAAUGUUCCCAACAUCUUGUGGAAUCCAUGCCAUGAAGAAUUGAGGCUGUUUUGAGAGCAAAGGGAGGCCCUACCCAGUAUUAGUGUAGUGUUCCUAAUAAAGUGCUUGCUGCAUGCAUACAUAUAUCUACAUUUAAAUACUACAUUUAUCUUUAUACAGUAUUUUCUCCUCAACAUGUUGCUGUUUUUGAUGUUUGAUUGAUCACUGGUUUCUAAAUAGAAGACACUGUAGAUAGUAGUUAUAUUGUUCUGUUUAAACAGAUUCAAAAGUGUGUUGUUAAUUAAAAAAGAAAAAGAUAUAAUCGUUGAUAAGAUGAAGGUUUCUUUAAGGAGAUAUUUAUUUAGCAUUUUUGGAAGGAGUCUCCAGUGUCAGAGCUUUGUAGCUGGAAAUUUUGCCCAAAAGCUAUAGGUUGUCCAAUAUGAGAACGUCUUCAGGACAGAAGACGCUGUGUGUAGCCUUUUGUCUCUAACAUGAUAAGCUACAUUUUUUUUUUUAAUCUUAUUAACUUCAGGAGAGAGUAAAUAAUAGAGGGUGGUGAAGGAACAACUGUUUAUAGCGGUUGUAACAUAAGUAAAAACAGGAACUAACUUGUUUCGCAGAUGUUCCACGUAAUUAAUGCGACUAUAAACAUAUAAAAAGUCAUUCAUGAAUAAAUAAAAAUUUGUUAGAGUUGGCAAAUUGCUGUGGUAUGAAAAGAAUAAAACACUUCCGGAUGUACUGUUGUACGAAAUUAAGCAGCUGUCAGUAACCCUGCUUUGCAUCAGGCUGCAUCGCACAACCUCAUAGUUUAUUGUUUUCCUAUAACAGCGUGCCCCAUCAUCCUUAAUGCGAUACAGCUUUCUUGGUAUUUUGACUAAGUACACCACCGUACCUCACUCUGGACAUCACAGUUUUUCAUGAAAUUUUUAAAAACCUAUGCUGUCACAUGGCAAUAGUGUCAUAUUAGGAUCUUUUUUAUAAAUAUAUUGGAGUCCAAAAGUCUGAGAAUUUUGCAUUCUUUUCUAACUUAAUACCAAAAUUUUCAUUACCAUAAAUUUUCAUUAUUAUAUUAUCAGGAAUAACUUGAGGAAGAAGUAGAAUGUUAGAAAUAUUUAUAUGAAUUUCAGAAGUUUGUGAAGAACUUGUCGAUUAAAUCCAGUUGAAUAUCAUCUGAACUCGUACUUCACUGGAAGAGAUAAUCCUCAAGGAUAAAAGUGUUAACGUGGUCAGUAUCGCACAUUUGCUUAGAUGUACAUGGUAACCAAGAAAUAGUGUGUGAUCUUGAAUACAGAAUACUCAAGAUGUUGACCGUUUCCUUACUUUGUUUUCAAUUCUAAAACUUUCUGUUUAUUUCCAGUUCCAGUUACUUCCAAUUAAUCUUGGAUUUUGAUACAUUUUAUAACAUCAUUAACACUCUUGUAUGACGUAUUCCCACUGUCAUGUGGCCUUUCACUUUCAGAUGAAGCAAAAUCUGCAGUUAACAUGCUGAAUGGACGAACGACUUCAAUCCAGAGAGCAAGCCGGAGGAGUGUGUAUGAUUUCUAAUAGAUAAAAUGUGAGCGCUCUGCCAUGCCUUUCACUGUCAUUAUAGUGACAAAAAACUAUUCUUUCAUCAAAACCAGUGCUCCUAUUGGUAAUGGGACAUGGCUUGUUGAAUUUCUGCGUCGUAACAAAAGGCCGUGUCUGCCUAUGGGGCUCGGCUGCACGCAGCCACCUGGCUCCUCUGUCCCUCUCUUUUGUAUUUCAGGAUUUAUUCAACAAAACCCUGAAAAGUGGAGCGCUGCGGGGAAAAAAAAGAGCGCCAAACUGACUUUUCAGGUUUUAAUGGGAGGGUAAACAACAGUGCAACGCAUGAAAUUAAUUGAUUGUUGAGCAACACAGAAGCUGUGUUAUCACGUUUCCCUGGUAACUGGAAAUUAUUGUCUGGUUGCUUAGAUGAAUUGAAGCA